AGAGUUUGAUCAUGGCUCAGAUUGAACGCUGGCGGCGUGCCUAACACAUGCAAGUCGAGCGGCAGCGGGCCCGCAAGGGUGCCGGCGAGCGGCGGACGGGUGAGCAAUACAUAGGAAUCUACCUUAGAGCGGGGGAUAGCCCGGGGAAACCCGGAUUAAUACCGCAUGAUGUCGAGAGACCAAAGUGGGGGACCGUAAGGCCUCACACUCUGAGAUGAGCCUAUGUCGGAUUAGCUAGUUGGCGGGGUAACGGCCCACCAAGGCGACGAUCCGUAGCUGGUCUGAGAGGACGAUCAGCCACACCGGAACUGAGACACGGUCCGGACUCCUACGGGAGGCAGCAGUGGGGAAUAUUGGACAAUGGGCGAAAGCCUGAUCCAGCGACGCCGCGUGGGUGAAGAAGGCCUUCGGGUUGUAAAGCCCUUUAAGCCGGGACGAAAAAAUCGGCGAUAACAUCGCCGGUCUUGACGGUACCGGAAGAAUAAGCACCGGCUAACUCUGUGCCAGCAGCCGCGGUA
rnacentral:rRNA from 1 species